UUCAGGGACAAUCUCAAGGCAUCAGAUGUCACACAAACUACAAUAACUCAUGCAGAAUUACACAAGGCUUUCAGGGGAUCAAUGAUUUUGGGGCGGGGAAGGUGUGUGUGUGUGUGUGUUUGGAAUGAUCUUCACAGAAAGUUCAUGAAAAAAAGAAAAGGGUUUGGGUGAAGUCAUGGAGACGCCGGGUACAUGGUCUACAGAGCGAGCUACAGAGCGUGCAUGCUCGGGGUUCCUCCCACACAUCAGGAACUGAUUCGCGAUUGGGACGGCUCCGACGUUCUUCAGAGCAGCUGCUGUUGAACUUUUUCAGAGUCGGAUCCUCCAGUCAAACCCACCAAGAAGAGAGUCAUCACUGCGUUUCCUUGGACUGUGCUCUCAUUCCCCCAUGUGCUCCGGAUGGCGUUUCGAGCUUCUACCUGAUGGGGCGCCACAGGGACCAUCAAGACCAGGAACGGACUCUGCUGACAUUUAUCAGCGGCAGCUCGACUUGAGGAACUACCAGUCCAGCUUACUUUCCACAGGCUCGUCCGGAGUGUUCCAAGUGAGAUGUGAUGGCUUUGCCGAGGACCUAAACAAGCUCCUCUUCCUCCUUUUCCUAUGGCGAGAGCAAUAUGGAGUCUUCCCGCCAGCUAAGAAGGACAUUUUUUUUGUCGCGGCAUGAGCUUGCAUCCCCAAAGCUGACCACGUCAAACUCAUCUUCGGGCGAGGGAGGGCCCACCAGCUGGCAGCAGUUGGCCACAUCCCCGCUGUUGCCUGCUUUUCUGCCUCUGAGGGCGCGCACUGGCACCUCGACAGUGGGCACACGUGCCGUACGUCAGUGGCGCCUCGGCGUGGGUAAGGCCCAGGCAGGUGACACAGUACUGGUGAAGGUCGAGGGGGUCAAUGGGACCAGCACAUAUCUGGCAUGUAGCAGCCAUUGGAUGCAGAGAUGAAAACGGGGUGAGUAGUCCUCUAUUGCAACUUUCA